rnacentral:rRNA from 1 species
UAGGGAAUAUUGGGCAAUGGGGGCAACCCUGAUCCAGCCAUGCCGCGUGAGUGAAGAAGGCCCUCGGGUUGUAAAGCUCUUUUGUCCGGAAAGAAAAGCUUCGGGUUAAUACCCCGGGGUUCUGACGGUACCGGAAGAAUAAGCACCGGCUAACUUCGUGCCAGCAGCCGCGGUAAUACGAAGGGUGCAAGCGUUACUCGGAAUUACUGGGCGUAAAGCGUGCGUAGGUGGUUGUUUAAGUCUGAUGUGAAAUCCCCGGGCUUAACCUGGGAACUGCGUUUGUGACUGCAAGGCUGGAGUACGGCAGAGGGGGGUGGAAUUCCACGUGUAGCAGUGAAAUGCGUAGAGAUGUGGAGGAACACCGAUGGCGAAGGCAGCCCCCUGGGCCUGUACUGACGCUCAUGCACGAAAGCGUGGGGAGCAAACA